rnacentral:lncRNA from 1 species
GUGGAGGACCAUGCCCUGCAGGUCACUACUGCCCUAGAGGCACCAUCGAUCCUCAACCUUGCCCCAUUGGCACAUUCAGCAACCUGACCAAACUAGUCUCCCAGGUAUAUUCGUUUCUCAAGGCUCAAUACGCUCAAUAUUCCUGACAUUUCCUCCCAAUACCACAGCACAGUGACUGCAGCCUGAGCCGUUGUUGUUAUGCUCUACCUUCUCCCAUAGAACGGCUGCCGGCACUGCUCCCCAGGUUAUUACUGUGACGCGUCUGGGCUAACAGCGCCUACAGGGGAAUGCUGGGAAGGUUUUUAUUGUCGCCGUGGAGCAGUUUUCCCCAACAGCCCUAUCAGAGACAGCCGAGGAGGGCCGUGUCCACGAGGUAACUCACCAAUCCACACCUCCUCCCCUGGGUUCGCAAAUAUAAAGGACUCCCCAGAAUACUGUCUCUAUCUCUUUUCUCUCUUUCUCUCUCUCUCUCUCUCUCCGUUUUCCUCCAUCUUCUUUCUCCCCAAAGUGCUGUCUCUGUCGCCCCUAUUGUCUCUGUCUUUAUCUCUGUGUCUUUCUCUACCUCUCUCUCGGUUUUUCUCUCUCCACUCAUUGUUUCCUAUUUCUCACACACAGGUUAUUUUUGCUCUAAGGGUUCGUCAGCUCCGCGAGAGUGUCCCCAGGGAGCCGUCAGUUUAGAAGAGGGUCGAUCCAGCUGUAGCCCCUGUCCCCAGGGUUAUUACUGUCCUGGCAACAGCUCCCUCCAUGAAACCAAUGAGUGCCCUGUGGGUCAUUACUGCCCAAAUGGCACCUCCUCUCAGUACCAGUACCCAUGCCCUGCUGGGACCAGCAACCCACACACUAGGAUGGGCAGUCCACAGGACUGCCUGCCAUGCCCCCCAGGGUUUUUCUGUGCCUUUCCUGGACUGAGUGCCGUAUCGGGCCAAUGCAUCGCUGGCUAUCUUUGCCACUCUGGAGCAGUAUCCCCGAAACCAGAAGACGGUGUGACCGGUGAGCGGUGUCCCCAAGGUCAUUACUGUCCAGAGGGCUUGGCUGCAGCGCCACGUCCCUGUCCUCUAGGAUAUUAUAGCAACACCACCAGGAACACACAACUCUCUGACUGCCUGCCCUGCCCUGCAGGGUUCAUUUGUGCCAGCAGAGGGCUCUCCAUCCCUUCUCAUCUCUGCCAGGCUGGCUCCUACUGCCCUUACAGACACAACUCCAGCCUCCCUGGCUCUAUCACCUGCUCAGCUGGGCAUAUGUGCCCACUUGGCAGUGCCAUCCAGGUUCCCUGUGUGCCAGGGACUUACCAGGAUCAAUCUGGGCAGGCAGAGUGUUUUACCUGUCCAGCAGGGUUUUACUGUGCAGGCUCAGUACAUCCUAACACAGAACAGGGGGUGGGAACACACAUGCCAACCCCUUGUCUGAAGGGACACUACUGCCCCCCAGGCACACGGUCUGGUGUGGAGUACCCAUGCCCAGCUGGCACGUUUAGUGGGCAGACCAGCACAUCUAAUAAGAGUGGGUGUGUGCCCUGCCCUCCAGGGAAGUACUGCAGCUCUGCAGGGUUGGCAGCGCCUACUGGGCAAUGCUCUCCUGGGUACCUUUGUAUCCGAGGCUCUGUUACUUCUCAGCCAGCUGGAGAUCCUACAGGUGGAAAAUGCAUCGCUGGGUCCUACUGCCCACUGGGUACCAGUCACAUGCUUCUAUGCCCGCCUGGUACUUUCAGCUCUUUAGAAGGGGCAGUAUCUGUGGCUGCGUGCCAGCCCUGUGUGCCUGGGCAGUACUGUGCAGACUUUGGCCUUGCCUCCCCAUCUGGUCCCUGCAGCGCUGGGUUCUACUGCCCAAUAGGAUCCAGAACCCCCAUGCCAAAUCAUAAUGCAACAAGUAAUAAUGAACCAAGAAAUGCAACUUCUGUAUAUCCUCCUCGUGAUGGAGAGGUCUUGGAACAGAUCAAUGGAGACCUGUGUCCAGGAGGCCACUACUGUCCGAUUGGGACAGCUCAGCCAAUACCCUGCCCCCCAGGCACCUUUCUGGGUGGAUAUGGUGGUCAAUCAGAGGCAGACUGUGAGGCUUGUCCGUCUGGAUUCUACUGCCCUGUGUGGGGGCAGACCACCACAGACCUCCACUGUCCCCAGGGUUGGUUCUGUCCAGUAGGCGCUGUAUCAGGGCAUCAACCAGAAUGUCAGUGCCCGUCUGGUCAUUCGUGCCCGUAUGGAAGUGCCAAGCCUGUCAUCUGUGCCCCUGGCACCUAUCAGUCUUUGACUGGUCAGUCUACAUGCAAGACCUGCCCACCAGGUUUUUAUUGUGUGGAGGGAACCUCUGUCCCAACACCAUGCCCAGCUGGCAGUGUGAGUCAGGCUGAGGGGAGAGCAUCUCAGAGGGAGUGUUCUCCAUGCCCUCCUGGGCUCUACUGCAACAGCAGUGCUCUCACCUCUCCCUCAGGACCCUGCUCUCCAGGCCACUUCUGUUCCCGUGGAGCUACUGUUCCUGAUCCAGUCUCCCAGACCUUUGGGGAUGUCUGCCCUCUAGGACACUACUGCCCAGAGGGUAGUGGGUCGCCCACACCCUGUUCUGUGGGUAGCUACCUUCCAGAGAGGGGUGCUCCAUCCCCCUCCCGCUGCUACCCUUGUCCCCCAGGAAGAUACUGCCUCAACCCAGGCUCCUCACAAUUCACAGAUGGAGAUGGGAGCUGGAUGGAUGUCGUAGCUAGGCCAUGGUCAGGUCAGGCCUUGGCCGACUCUACACCUCAUCUCAGGAGUCCACUUUAUAAAUGUGCUAACUUCAAAGGCGAUAUAUGUCCCAAAGGUUUCUACUGUCCUGUAGGAUCGGCUUACCCUCAGCCCUGUGACACUGGCUUCUACUGUGGUCAGACUGGCCUGGAAGCCCCCAGUGGCCUCUGUACCCCAGGCUAUUUCUGCUCCAGGGGUUCCACGACCCCUCACGCCUCACUCUGCCCCCCUGGACACUACUGCCCCCAGGGCACACCUCUCCCUCUACCUUGCCCUCCUGGAACCCUGAAGGGUCGAUCAGGCGGGUCCACAGUGGACGAUUGCCAGCCUUGCCCCCCUGGUCAUUACUGCGAUCAGAUAGGCUUGGCCGGGCCCAGCGGUCAGUGUGCUGCUGGCUACUACUGUCCUGGGGGACAGAGCACUGAUAGACCGUCACAACAUGUGUGUGGAGUUGGUCAUUUCUGCAAGGAGGGUAGCGUGAGAGAGAGAGCCUGUGCCCCAGGCAGCUACCAGCCUAGUGAGGGUCAGCACCGAUGUGAGGUGUGUCCUUCUGGCUUCUACUGUCUUGAAGAAGGAAGGACACACUUGGUUCCAUGCGGAAGAGGAUUCUAUUGUCCACGUGGAACAGCCAAUCAGCAUCCUUGUCCAUCCGGGACCUAUGGAAACUUAUCAGGAUUGGCUGACGAAUCGGAAUGCUCUUUGUGUGAACCGGGGAUGUACUGUAAAGGAACAGGGAGAAAUUACCCCAGUGGUCCAUGCAGUGCAGGGUUUGUGUGUUUUGGGGCCGCCUCUCAACCCUCCCCCUCAGACAACAUCACAGGCGCUCCAUGUCCUCCUGGAUUCCACUGUCCUGUUGGAAGCUCCGUACCAAUGCCCUGCCCUAAAGGCACAUUCAGUGAGCAAAGUGGACUAACGGAGCCCUCCCAGUGUCGUAGAUGUGUUCCAGGGUUCUACUGUGCAGAGCCAGGCCUUAAAGCAGUCACUGGAGCCUGUCUGCCAGGUUUCUACUGUUUGGAAGGGUCCCAGAGUGCUGCCCCGAUGUCAGGUGUAUUUGGAGGUGUUUGCAACCCAGGCCACUACUGUGAGAGUGGGACCAGUGUGCCUGCAUCCUGCCCUGCUGGCACCCAUCACAAUAACACCGGAGGGAAGAAGAGUGAUGACUGCAAGCCAUGUCCUGAUGGUUGGUUCCAGGACUUGGAGGGCCAGAGGGAGUGUAAGCCCUGUCCCCCUGGCUCUCACUGCCUGACCACCAACACAACUGGCAGCACCAGUGGCCCCAUCACCCCUCUGCCCUGCCCAGCUGGCUAUGUCUGCCCCAGAGAGAGCUCCUUCAGCCAACCCUACCCCUGCCCCAAAGGCACCUACAGCCCUACUCUGGGUCUCACAUCCCUUGGGGAGUGCUUGGUUUGUCCGGCGGGCCAGUUCUGUGGAUCAGAGGGUCUGGUUGAGCCCACUGGACCCUGUGCUCCUGGAUUCCUCUGUGUUACCAGGGCCACAGUGCCCAACCCCACCGACAACAGGACAGGGUCAACCUGCCCCCCCGGAUCAUACUGCCAACUAGGAUUCAGAGCAGGUGCUUGUGCCCCUGGGUUCUUCUGUGACUGGGGCUCCAGUAGUCCUGAGGAGGCCCUCUGUCCAGCAGGCUACUUCUGUCCAGGAGGAACUAGGACCCCCCUGGCCUGUCCUGCAGGGACACACAGCUCAGUGACAGGCAACAGCCACCAGAACAACUGUACAACAUGUCCUGAUGGCUACUACUGUCAGGGAGAAGGGGUGGUCUAUCCAGUGGUCUGUCCUCUUGGUCACUACUGCCCUCCUGGGUUGGCCGUGGGUGUGAAGUUCCCCUGUCCCCCUGGCACAGUGCAGAGCAAGCCUGGAGCCUCCAGCCUGGACCACUGUCUACCAUGCCCUGCAGGGAUGUUCUGUGCCCUACCUGGGCUUUCCCAGACAACGGGGCCUUGCCAGGCAGGAUACCACUGUCCCCCAGGUGCCAUCACACCCAAUGCUACUGAAUACGAGAAUUCUACCAGUAAUAAUCUGUGCCCCCGUGGCCACUACUGUCCAGCUGGCACUGGCUACCCUCUUCCGUGCCCACCGGGCUCUCUCUCCAGCUCCCUGGGACUGAGGGGCGUAGAGGAGUGCCAGCCUUGCCCCCCUGGGCACUUCUGUGACAAGCCUGCGCUGACCGCGGAUGGCGCCCCGUGUAGCGCUGGGUAUGUGUGUCUAGGGGGUAGCUCCAGUGCCCACCCCUCUGAUGGUCACCAUGGUUACCUGUGCCCCACAGGGCAUCGCUGUCCUGUUGGCACAGCUUCAGCGGUACCCUGUGAGCCUGGCACCUACAGUCCUGCCCCUGGUGCCGCCCACUGCCUCACCUGCCCUAAUGGCACCAUGUGUCCCUCCUCUGCCACCCAAGAGCCCUCUCUCUGCCCUGCUGGUCACUUCUGUCCUGCCCGGUGUGUGUUACCGCUGCCUUGUCCUGUUGGGACCCUCAGUGAACAGACAGGAGCCCCCUCGCCCUCUGCAUGCAGGCCCUGCCCCUCUGGGCUCUACUGUAGCUUGCCCGGCUCCUCACUACCACAAGGCCAGUGCCAGCAGGGCUACUUCUGCCAGCGUGGAGCACAUAGUCCAGCUCCCCAGAGCUCAGCCAUCUUUCCCAGGAACGGGCCCUGUCCUGUGGGCCACUAUUGCCUUUCUGGGACCCUCUCCCCACUGCCGUGUCCUGCAGGCAGCAUCCGAAACCACACCGGUGGGUUAUCCUUAGACAGCUGCUCCCCUUGCCCCCAUGGACACUACUGUUCCAUUGAGGGCCUGGCCUCCCCCAGUGGCCUGUGUGCUGCUGGCUUCUACUGCCCGUUUGACUUCUCCUCCACCACGCCCUAUGCUUUCCUCUGCCCUAAGGGUCACUACUGUCCAGAGGGCUCUCCCCUGGCCCUGCCCUGUCCUACAGGAGAGUACCAGCCCAACCCAGGCUCUGACUCCUGCAUCCCAUGCCGCCCAGGCUUCUACUGUGAGGAGGCCAUUGUUGGAGAGCCCUGGCCUUGCCCCCCUCACUCCUUCUGCCCUGCAGCCACCAUGGUUCCCCAGCCGUGCCCCAACGGUACGUUCACCCCUUCUGACCAGGGGGGGUUACAGGAAGAGCGGGAGUGUCUGCCCUGCCUCCCAGGGAGGUUCUGCAGGGCUGGUAAGAUCAAGGGCCAUUGUGCAGCAGGGUAUCUGUGUAUGUCUGGCAGCUCUGAGUUCACGCCACAGGGGCCUCACUCCAACUGGAGCCAGUGUGAAUGGGGGAUGCAGUGUGCCGGCCCCUGUCCAGCAGGAUUCUACUGCCCAGAAGGUUCAGAGAAGCCUGAAGUCUGCCCUGAUAACACUAUCAGAGUUUUACCUGGAGCAGCCAAUAUCCAUGAUUGUCUGUCUUGUCCACCACAGCACUGGUGCAAAAAAGGUGACCCUGUCCUGCACCUGUGUCCUGCUGGUCACUACUGUGAUGGGGUGGUUGGUAGUGACUACGAGGGAGGGACUGAACCCAGGGAAUGUCCGUUAUUUACCUACAGAUCCACACCCGGGGCAGCCAGCAAGGGGGACUGCCACCCCUGUCCCCCUGGAUUCUACUGUAACUCUACAGGUUUUACAGAUUACUCUGGCUACCCCUGUCCCCCGGGCUACUGGUGCAGUGGCACUGGUCUACCUAUACUAUGCCCUGCGGGUACCAUGAGGCCCCUUCCAGGGGCGGCAGCUGCCAGUCAGUGUGAGCCGUGUGCGGGGGGCACCUACUGCCCAGACCCCAUGUCCACAGGGCAGCCCAACAUUGCUGGAAUCUCCUGUAGAGCCUCGUUCCAGUGUCCCCCUGGUGCGGUCUCAGAGAGGCUGUGCAAGGCUGGCUCUUACUGUGGGCCCCAGACUGCAGAGCCUGAAAUCUGUCCUGAAGGCUACCUCUGUCCAGAGGGAUCUCACACCUACAACACACCAAACCAAGUUUGCGCGUUUCCCUACUACUGUCCUGCCAACAGCUCUGCCAUGCUGUCCUGUGAGGGGGGCUCCGUGCCCCUCAACACCAGUGGCCCCAGAGCCUCCCAGGACAGCAGCUGUGGGCUGUGUGAGGCAGGGACCUACCGACCUCGGCUGUCCCCCCAACCUCAGUGCCUCACCUGCCCACCAGGGUACCACUGCCCUCCAGGGACAGAGCACUACCACAGCAACCCCUGUCCCCUGGGCUAUGUGUGUCCGCUGGGCUCAUCCAGUCCUGUCCCUUGCCCCCCUGGUUCUUUUGGUAAUCUCUCCAACGCUGAACAUGUGGAGGACUGCUACCCAUGUCCAACUGAUACCUUCAACCAUCUGGCUGCCCAGAGAGCCUGUUUCCCCUGCGGAAGUUCCUCUACUGCACCCCAAGGGGCCUCUUCCUGCACCUGCCUUGGGAAGAACCGUGCUUUCCAGCACUCAGACGGCUCCUGUCUGUGUCGAACCGGCUUUAUUUUCUACAACAAUCUGGAUUUCAAGAUCUCCAGCUCUGACAGUGAACUGGACUGCCAGCCUGAGGUGAACAAGCGCUGCAGUGCAGGACAGGUGCGCCUGGCUGCAUCCAGAGAGUGUGUCUCACCCUCUCACCACUCCUGUAACAUCACCUGUGGACCUCAGGGAGGGAGUCUGGAUGUGGAGAUGGGCAUCUGCCACUGUGAGCGCUACGUAUCAGCAGAGGAGCUGUGCAACACAUCGUGUCUGUCCAGACUGCCCCACGUCUCUGCCAGGCUCUCCCCAGAUGGACAGCUGCUGCUGGGGAUCAAAGAGCCAGAUGAAAGCCGAGUGUGGAGCAGAAAAAUGAUGGAUGUUUUGGGACCAGACGUCCAUGUGAAGAACAUUGGAAACAUCCACUUUGUUCAAUUUGAUUCUGAAGGUGUAUUUGGUUGGAUUCUGAUGGACCGAAAUGUUAUUGAAAUGACCCUGACAGCAGAGCCAAUCGAAUUUAUUGACAUGCGAUCAAGGAAGAGGAGGGAUCUAGAAUCCAAGGCAGAACUUCUACACUCCUAUGUCCUCCCUCGUAUCCCCAACCCCAUAGCAUGCCUCUCCUCCAAUGACAUGCUCAUCUUCCAGCUCACCAUCAACUACAAUGACCGUCACAUCAGCCACUUCCCAGUGUAUCAGAAAGACCAUCUCUUCAAUAGCAACCCUAGCUGGGACUUUGGGGCCUUCCGGCGGCUAGAGCGACUCAUGAAGCAGACUCAGUUCAACUCUACCAGAUUUGCACACGUGUUCUCGGAGACGGGGAAGUAUGUGUUCCUGGACAACGCCAUUCCAGAGUGGAGUCUAGUGGUGGUGGUCAGUGAGAGAGGGACAGAGUGUGACCCCACUGCAGCUGUUUUCCAGCCCAUGACCCCCGCCCAACUGGUCAAGCACGGGGUCAUCAAACAACACCGGCUCAACCUGCUGCCUGACUGGGGCGCCAUCGUAGGUGUCCUGAGUCUCCUGCUUGUGCUGAUCCUGGUGCUCACCACCACAGCUCUGGUUCUGAAGUCCAGUCGGGCCAAGCUGGUGUGCCAGGGCAAACUGAGGCCUAAGUGGCGGAGCCUGGGAGAGCCCAUCCCCCCAGUGGAAUACGUCUACAGUGGAGAAAGCCUGAAUGGCCAGGGGGUGCUGGGCUGCAGGGGAGUCGGAGAGGGGGCUGAAGCUGAGGAGCCUGCAGUCUGCCGUGGAGGAGGAUACAUGACUGGGAAGUUUGAUCUGGAGCAAUUCAACGUGAAAACUCUCUACGACAAGCUGGAGGAUCAGAACCUGCAUUUGGCGUCCCAGCUGGCCAGGCACCGCAAGGACACCCAGGAGUUCUACCGGAAUAUCUGUCAACAAACAGAUACCCUGAGGGAUGUUCUGGAGAACAUGGAACCCAAAAAGUUGAGUCUGUUGAAAGAGCUAUUGGAACGCGAUGCCUUGCAGAAUGAAUCAUACACCAACACGGAUGCAGACGGGGAUGGACAUAUCCAAUCAGCAAAAGAUCCGUCAGUGGUGCUGAUGGGAGCUGUGGUCAGAGCUUUGGAGGCAGUCCUGUACAGACUUAGUGGAGAGAGCUGGCAGCAGCAUGACAUGACCGCAGCACACUGCCACACAGACAGCAGGGAGUGUGAACUGCACACAGGCUACAUACAGUUUUCCUCAGCCAACAUGACCAAACCUGCAUCAGGCCAUGAGACAGGACCACCACCUCAUGAUCUAGUACACCUACAGAGCACAGCCCCCUGUCUGAGUGAGCAGGACCUGUCCAAACUAGUGGCCAUGACCCCUCUGUCCAGGACCCUGCAGGAGAUACAGGAGUCCCUCCAGAACCUAUCUGGUGUAGACAGAGUUUGUAUUCCAGCCAGGACUGACAAAACCACAGAGGACCCAACAGUGCACCUGAUUCCCGUUGCCCUGGACAACCUCUCCCCACAGCACUUUGCCAUCUUCCUGUUCGGCUGUCAUGUUGUGAAACUGCUUUGCAACACUCAAAUCUUCCCCCCUGUCAUGCUGCUUCUGUCCAAAACGGUUCCUGUCUCAGCUUACGAGGGCCUGGUGUCACACUGCAGUGGGGACUUUUAUUUUGACACAACCAACCAGAUUCUGUAUCUCUGUGAGGCAAAGCUUGAGAGUGUGGGACAGUUUAUUGCCACUCUCCUACAGUCUAUGGCCUAUAUUGCUUCAGGUUCCAAGCCUGAAAGCUUCAUGCAAGUCCUCCAUCAUGCCAUCUCUGCUUUGAGCCUUCAGUUGUUCAACGCCUCUUUCAGAUAUGAUGCAAACAAGGCAAAGAGGGACACCUCACUGACCUCAGACCAGUCUCCUGGGAAGUUAGUAGAGGACUUUCUCAAUGUCCGUGUCCCCACUGAUAGCCAGUUCACAGAGCACCUCUUGUCAGACAGACUCCAACGAUAUAAGUAUUUCAAUGUGGAGCAAAUCAUGCGGGAUCUUAAACAGUUUCCAGCAGAGGACACUGAAAAGGGACCUUCACAACAGUGUUUAAGAACACCCGUCCAAGCUCACUGUUUGGAGAAGGAGAUGGACCAUCUGAAUGAGGUUUUCCUGCAGCUCAGCGUUCAACUCCAGAAGAGAACCCAGGGCGCAACAACCGAGAAGGCCCUGAGUCGUAAUGGAACAAUGAUGUUAGAGCUGAAGAGACGGUAUGUAUCCCAGAGGCUCGACGAGCUGCAAAUCAUAUUAAAUGGGAUGAGCCGGCGCCAGCUAGACGGCCACAGCCCAGAGGAAGAGGAGCAGACCCGAGAUCACCCACACCCAGAGCCAGACAACUAUAGAUCAGACGGUCAGGAGGAACACGAUCAUUCUCCAGACCAGGAGGACCUAGACAGCAGGGUACCAAAGAACCAUAAACUAGAAAAUAACCAGAGCCCGUACAAUCAGGAAGUAGAAAGCCAGGGACCAAGCAGUCAGAUGACAAGCAUGGGUAAAACAAGCUUCGGAGAACUAGAUGUAUGGGAAUAAGCCAGUUAGAAGCAUUGUGAAAAUGGGAUACUACUGAAGUGUGUGGUUUUGGUGUGAUUUGUCUCAUGAUUUUGUAGAUUACGUGUACAGUCUAGUGUAUGGUGUGAAUAAUAGAUGUAUAAUAGGUUCAUCACAUGUGAUUUAAUCAAACUGAUCAUUUUCGUUGGAGUGAUAUUUAUUAAAGAUAUGAAUUAUGCUUGUGCAUCGCUUUUAUCACAAUGUCACCA